AUGAAGGCGGAGAAGAACAACAUGUUCGAGAAGAAACACUCCUUUCAGAGACAAGAGACUUAAGACGGGAGCAAGCAAAACAGCGAGAAAUCGAGGACUUCGAACUGCCUGUUGCACAUGUUCGGCCAAGAGGGACUGAUGAAAAAAUCAAAGAGGUGGAGGGCAGAAGGAUUGUCGACUUGGCGCACUUCGUGGAACAAAUCCGCAAACUGGAGGACCACGAGUGCGAAGUCAAUCCUUUGACAGGACAUCUUCAAUUCCAGAAAGAGGAAUAUCAUGGGCUAUUGACUGUCUUGACGUUUGCAUGUACCUCAUGCCCACUUGUUAGACACAUUCAAACUGUCACAGGUACUCCUAAAGAAAUUAAUCAGGCCGCAGUUCUAUCAAUGUAUGCUGUUGGUAGAGGACACCAUCAUUUUGAGGAGAUCUCGAGUCACCUUGGAAUACCAGCCCCAGCGUAUGGUACCUUCCACGAAAACGAACUAUCAGUUGGAAAGGCUAUUGUGGAGUGCCUUGAGGAGGACAUAAUUGGAGCUGGAAUUCAAGAGCGACAAAUAGCCUUGGGAAAAGGCAACAUCAGCAAAGAUGGUGUACCGUACGUGACUGUGAUUGCAGAUGGUGGCUGGUCGCAUCGCAGUUAUGGCCACAAAUAUACGGCCAAAUCAGGCUGCGCCAUUAUAAUUGGAAAAGAAACUAAGAAAAUUCUCUACUUUGGAGUACGAAACAAGUACUGUAGUGUCUGUGCUAUAGCUCAGCGUAAGAAAGUUGCCAUACCAGAACACAAGUGCUACAAAAACUGGGAUGGGACCAGCCCGGCUAUGGAGGCUAACAUCAUCGUGGAAGGCUUCAAUAAAAGUGAAGAGAUGCACAAAAUGACAUACAAGUACCUAAUCGCAGACGGUGACUCAAGUGUGCACAAGAGUGUAAUUGAGCGUGUGUCUUACGGACAUGAAGUGCAGAAGCUCGAAUGCGUUAACCACCUGACGAAAAAUGUCAGUAAGAGAAUUUAUGAAUUCCAAGCCACUCUGAAGGAUGACACCGAGAAAAAGUUCUUAACCAACAAAAGAAUUAAAUGGUACACUAAGUACGCUCGCGGCCUGUUGGAGGAGCUUUCCAAAAACAAAGAGCCCCAAACUGAAGUGGUUGCAGUUAUCACUAAUAUGAGCAAUCAUUUCCUUGGGAAUCACCGAGACUGUCGUGCCAGAUAUUGCCGCAAAGCUGGCACAGAGGAAAAGACAGAGUUUCCACCGUCUUUUUUGGUGCCCCUGGCCAACAUCCUGAGUAGCCUGACAAAUCACACUACCAGUAUCAUAGAAAACGAAACUACAAACUUGGCCGAGCUGUACAUGCACCUGUUGACUGUUUUCACAGGUGCAAAAGC
rnacentral:lncRNA from 1 species